GGCAGUUCUCAAAUGAUGCACCUCAGAAUCGGGCUCCCUUCUCUAUGGUUCCGGGUCCAUCACCCAAGAACCGCA
rfam:Myotis brandtii contig179216, whole genome shotgun sequence.